GGGAAGGGAGCAGGAGCGCAGGCGCGGUCUCUCGCUGGAGAGUCGAUAUAAUGGAACGUUAGCGAAGGCAGGGAGUGUCAACAAAUUACCCUCAGGAGAAACGGGGGGCGACAACUUCUGUCCUGUGUGGAGGAUAUUAAAUGUUGAACUGGAGUCCAUUUUAGUACAGGAUCUUUUGGAUCAGCCUCAGUUCCUGUCCAGAACCAGCUGUACAAGGUUGCAAGACGUUAUUUGAACUCGACUUCUAUUACGAGACACUCCUGACUUUGACUUACCACUGGAGCCACAGGCCAGUGGUUUGUUGCAGAUCUUCCCACAAGAAGGGAUGGGAUCGGAGCAGCUUUGUCGUUCUUUGUAGCCCAGUUCCAGUAGUUUGACCAGCGGCGUCUGACCACAGGGACACGUCUUCACCAGGGUCGGGGAAAGUGUGCACGGCUGGCAUGAACCGCGGUGGCAAACCUGCUGACACUGGUGGGCUUCACAGUCCAACAUCCUGCACAAAAAACGAGCAAUAAAGUAAAAUAUCAAGUA